UUUGCGUCGAAGGUAUACCGGUAAGGAGUGCUGGAGCGAAUAGAAGUGAGCAUGCAGGCAUGAGUAGCGAUAAUUAAUGUGAGAAUCAUUAACGCCGUAAACCCAAGGUUUCCUACGCGAUGCUCGUCAUCGUAGGGUUAGUCGGGUCCUAAGUCGAGUCCGAAAGGGGUAGACGAUGGCAAAUUGGUUAAUAUUCCAAUACCAACAUUAGUGUGCGAUGGAAGGACGCUUAGGGCUAAGGGGGCUAGCGGAUGGAAGUGCUAGUCUAAGGUCGUAGGAGGUUAUACAGGCAAAUCCGUAUAACAAUACUCCGAGAACUGAAAGGCUUUUUGAAGUCUUCGGAUGGAUAGAAGAACCCCUGAUGCCGUCGAGCCAAGAAAAGUUUCUAAGUUUAGCUAAUGUUGCCCGUACCGUAAACCGACACAGGUGGGUGGGAUGAGUAUUCUAAGGCGCGUGGAAGAACUCUCUUUAAGGAACUCUGCAAAAUAGCACCGUAUCUUCGGUAUAAGGUGUGGUUAGCUUUGUAUUAGGAUUUACUCCGAAAGCAAGGAAACUUACAACAAAGAGUCCCUCCCGACUGUUUACCAAAAACACAGCACUCUGCUAACUCGUAAGAGGAUGUAUAGGGUGUGACGCCUG
rnacentral:rRNA from 1 species